GUGCGUGCGCACAGGCACUAGAGUGAGACAGCUCUAGAAGAGAGCAAGCCGCCGCCGCCGCCGCAUCAUCGUCAGAAGCGGCCACUCCUACCUCUGAUCCUGAUACAAAAUCCAGGCCAGAGGGCAGGAGCCUCCAAAAGAGAUCCACUCCCCCGGAUGGCUUCUUGCCUCUGCUUCCGCAGACGCCGCCGCCCAAUCAUUGCCUCCUCUGUCCCCUUCUUCCUCCUCCUCGUCUCCUUCCUCGCCUCGGCCUCGGCCUCUUCCACGACGACGACGAAGCUGCUAGGCAGCGGCAAUAAUGCCACGCGGCGGGUGACGUUCAGCUCGGAGGAGCUCCGCGGGUUGCGGAGCAUCACGGCCCGGCUUGCGCGGCUCAGGGACGCGUCCGUCAAGACGAUCCAGAGCCCCGACGGCGACGUCAUCGACUGCGUGCCGGCGCACCUGCAGCCGGCGUUCGAGCACCCCAAGCUGAGGAGCCAGAAGCCAGAGGUAGGAGGAGCCCGAAGAGAGGCCGAGGAGCAGCGCUGGCCGCUUCUCCGACGCUGACCUGGACGAGGACGACGACCCGUUGCCGCAGGUGUGGCGGCGCUCCGGCGAGCACUGCCCGGAGGGGACGGUACCGGUGCGGCGAACCACGGAGGACGACGUGCUCAGGGCCACCGCCUCUUCCGCCACCCGGUUCGGGAUGAAGGCCCGCGGUGCGGGGCUCGGGUUCGCGCGGCGCGACUCCACCGGCGGCGGCCACGAGCACGCGGUGGGGUACGUGACCGGCGGGCAGUUCUACGGCGCCAAGGCGAGCCUGAACGUGUGGCCGGCGCAGGUGGCGUCGCCGGCGGAGUUCAGCCUCUCGCAGAUCUGGGUCAUCUCCGGCGCCUUCGGCAACGACCUCAACACCAUCGAGGCCGGCUGGCAGGUCAGCCCUCAGCUGUACGGCGACAACAGCCCCAGGUUCUUCACCUACUGGACAGACGACGCGUACCAGGAGACGGGCUGCUACAACCUCCACUGCUCGGGCUUCGUGCAGACCAGCAGCCGCGUGGCCAUCGGCGCCGCCAUCUCGCCCGUCUCCUCCUACGCCGGCCGCCAGUUCGACGUCACGCUUCUCAUCUGGAAGGACCCGCGCCGGGGCCACUGGUGGCUGCAGCUCGGCUCCGGCGCGCUCGUCGGCUACUGGCCCUCCGCGCUCUUCACGCACCUCGGCUCGCGCGCCGACAUGGUGCAGUUCGGGGGCGAGGUCGUCAACGCGCGCCCCGCCGGCGCGCCGCACACGCCCACGCAGAUGGGCUCCGGCCGCUUCCCCGCCGAGGGAUACGCGCGCGCCGCAUACUUCCGAAACGUGCAGCUCGUCGACUGGGACAACAACCUCGUACCGGCCGCCGGGCUCCGCCUGCUCGCCGACCGGCCGGGGUGCUAUGACAUCGCCGGCGGCAGCGGCGGCGCGUGGGGCACCUACUUCUAUUACGGUGGGCCCGGCAGGAAUGCACGGUGCCCGUAACUUUACUAGUAUAUUAGCUAGGAACGGAAUCGAAUGCAUGGGAUGGGUGUUGUACUUGUACGUGUGUUUCGUACGUGCGCACUCAAGCACACAUUAGCAGAGGCUGAUUGCUAUAUAUUACUCCAAAUGAGUCUGCUUUCACUUUUUUUAAUCUCUCCAUGUGAAUAUGAUGCCGUUGUGAUCAUCUAACAAUUUGCUCAUUUAAUUUAGCAUUCUUUUUUCCUGUUUCUUU